rnacentral:snRNA from 1 species
AUCGCUUCUUGGUCUUUUGGCUAAGAUCAAGUGUAAUAU